AAAUUGAAGAGUUUGAUCAUGGCUCAGAUUGAACGCUGGCGGCAGGCCUAACACAUGCAAGUCGAACGGUAACAGGAAGAAGCUUGCUUCUUUGCUGACGAGUGGCGGACGGGUGAGUAAUGUCUGGGAAACUGCCUGAUGGAGGGGGAUAACUACUGGAAACGGUAGCUAAUACCGCAUAACGUCGCAAGACCAAAGAGGGGGAGCUUCGGGCCUCUUGCCAUCGGAUGUGCC
rnacentral:rRNA from 1 species